rnacentral:rRNA from 1 species
UACGGAGGGUGCGAGCGUUGUCCGGAAUCACUGGGCGUAAAGGGCGCGUAGGCGGCCUGAUAAGUCGGGGGUGAAAUCCUGCGGCUUAACCGCAGGGCUGCCUUCUAAACUGUCAGGCUAGAGCACAGUAGAGGCAGGUGGAAUUCCCGGUGUAGCGGUGGAAUGCGUAGAGAUCGGGAGGAACACCAGUGGCGAAGGCGGCCGGCUGGGGGUGACCUGACGCUGAGGCGCGAAAGCGUGGGGAGCGAACCGG